AGGCAUUCGAUUGGUGGUCUUUGCCGUUGUAAGUAACGGAGCUUCGAAGUCAGCGACUGUAGUGUUAAAUAUUGUAGCCCGGAUGAACCGGAUUCGGAUCCACGUGCUGCCGUCCAGCAGGGGUCGAGCGUCGCAGGCCGCGCGCGCCCACGAGCCCCAGACGUGCGCGUUCACGCAGAGAGCGUGCACUCAGCCUCGCAUAGACGGCUGGGACUUCUGCAUCAAGCACAUCCUGGAAGACAAAAACGCUCCAUACAGGCAGUGCAGCUAUGUCUCCAGUAAGAACGGCAAGCGCUGUCCCAAUGCUGCACCAAAACCAGAGAAGAAGGACGGGGUUGCAUUUUGUGCUGAACAUGCACACAGGAAUGCUUUGGCGCUGCAGGCACAGAUGCGCAAGGCUUCCUCCGGACCGUCCCCUGAGGUCCUGCUGUCUCAGCUCAGUGGCUACAACAGGACGGAGUUGGGAGCUCUCGGCCAAGAUGGCCGCAGUGAAGCGAGUCGCAUACUAGAUGAAGACAGCUGGAGCGAAGACGAGCAGGAUCCAGUGGUGCUGGAUCAGACGUGGAGAGGAGAUCCUGACAGUGAAGCGGACAGCAUAGACAGCGACCACGAAGACCCUCUCAAGCAUGCUGGGGUGUACACUGCUGAAGAAGUUGCUCUGAUCACACGUGAAAAGCUCAUCAGACUCCAGUCACUCUACAUAGACCAGUUUAAGCGUCUGCAGCACUUGCUGAAGGAAAAAAAGAGACGCUACUUGCAUAACCGCAAGAUUGAGCACGAAACAAUAGGCAGCAGUCUUUUAACAGGACCUGAGGGUCUGUCCAUGAAAGAGAGGGAAAAUCUGAAGAAGCUGAAGGCUUUACGUCGCUACCGGCGGCGCUACGGAGUGGAGGCUCUGCUACACAGGCAGCUCAGGGAGCGCAGGCAGGCCGUUACUGAGGGAGGAACACCUCAGACCCACUCAGUACGCCACAGCCAGAGGUGCAUUUCCUUUGUGGAGGGGACGCGGUGUUCAAACCCCUGUCUGCCAAUGACCCGACACUGCGUGUCUCAUAUUUACCAAGACAGUAGCCAGGUGUUGUUUAAGAUGUGCCCAGGCCUUAAGGACGUGCCCUGUGACAGGCCGGUGCACAUGGGCCAGUCAGAGGAGCCACGAUGCCCGCUGCAUCUCUCCCUGCCUCCCCCCAUGUACCAGCCUGAGCAGGAGCCACUGGCGCCGGAGCAGCUAUCAUUAGCACCAACAGACAUGUACCUGAGCGCUGCCGAGCUUCAGCCCACAGAGAGCCUGCCCCUCGAGUUCAGCGAUGUACGAUUAACUUCAUUUGGGGUCGUUGGUCAUCUAGGAUGUCUGUUGAAUGACAGGAAUACAGAUCUGGAUGUGGUAGGUGAUGAGGAGAUGCAGUGCCCUCCAUCACCGCUGCUCUUUGACACUGCCCUGGCGCUGGAAGACCAAACCAUCCGCGCCAUUGCUGAGGCUCCUAUGGACAUCUUGACCUCAGGACAGGACCCCGAUCUCUCAGAGACAGAAGACAUGUCCACAGCAGACCAGAAUAUUAAUCAACACCUUCUGGCGAGUCAGAUUCAAGAAUUCAACAACGCUGUGGUAUAAAGAGAGAGGGUUGUCUGCUGUUCAUCUGGUGUGAUUUCUUUAAAAAGUAGGCUUUCUAAUGGACUGCGCAUUUGAAUUCAGCUGUGUCGGAGGUAUCUGAAACAGCAGGAGAUGAGGAUGCCACAAAGAAUUCUUCAAAGGACCCUGACACAAUAACAACAGUUGGCACAUCCUGAGCACCUUGUGCACUGAUUUUCUCAGCUGUCUACAGACUUUUACAGAACCUUCUGCACUGGUGUCCGAUCAAUAGCCAUAUUUAACAGAGCCUUUUUUUGUGGAGGAAAUGUUGCACCUUAUUUAUAGAAAAUGUUCUGAUGUAUAUUCCAAAAGCCUUAUCGCUUGGGGAAUGAGUGCUAAUACAUUACUUGUAGGCAACAUGAAUUUGUUGCUUUCUUUGGAAAUAAAACGGAAACUGUGUUGCCCCGGUCUGGAA